CCUACGGGGGACAGCAGUAGGGAAUAUUGCGCAAUGGGGGAAACCCUGAAGCAGCAACGCCGCGUGGAGGAAGAAGGUUUUCGGAUUGUAAACUCCUUUUGUUAGAGAAGAUAAGAAGGGUAUCUAACGAAUAUACACCAGCUAAAUCCGUGCCAGCAGCCGCGGUAAUACGGAGGGUGCAAGCGUUACUCGGAAUCACUGGGCGUAAAGAGCGCGUAUGCGGGUUAGGAAGUCAGAUGUGAAAUCCUAUGGCUUAACCAUAGAACUGCAUUUGAAACUGUUAUUCUAGAGUAUGGGAGAGGUAGGUGGAAUUCUUGGUGGAGGGGUAAAAUCCGUAGAGAUCAAGAGGAACACUCAUUGCGAAGGCGACCUGCUAGAACAUAACUGACGCUGAUGCGCGAAAGCGUGGGGAGCAAACAGGAUUAGAUACCCUAGUAGUC
rnacentral:rRNA from 1 species